rnacentral:rRNA from 1 species
UACAGAGGGGGCUAGCGUUAUUCGGAAUUAUUGGGCGUAAAGGGCGCGUAGGCGGCCAUGCGUGUCUUCCGUGAAAUCCCUCGGCUUAACUGAGGACGUGCGGAAGAAACUGCAAGGCUCGAGUCCGGGAGAGGGGGGUGGAAUUCCCAGUGUAGCGGUGAAAUGCGUAGAUAUUGGGAGGAACACCAGUGGCGAAGGCGGCUCACUGGACCGGUACUGACGCUGAUGCGCGAAAGCGUGGGGAGCAAACAGG